GGAGCACUUGUCCCUCUCCUGUGAGGAUCCUCUGGUGUCUGAUGGAGGGGCAGCUCACACUGCAAGUACGAUUCAGAUGCUACUUCGUUUCUGGAUGGGGACGUGAGCUGUAUCCUCUCCCUGGAAGGGACGGCGGGCAGCAGCUCCGAACUGAGGCAUGGGUGCUGCAUGAGGGCCCGUCCGCUGAAGGUCAAUCCCCCUCCUCAGUAGGGCUCCUGAUCUAGCGUGGGGCUCCCUGACUCUGCAGAGCCCAUGCUAUCUACGUGUGAGAGGCACCAGCAGGAAGGUACCACAUUCAAUAUAAUAAAUCUUACUACCAGAUUUGCAAUUUCGUGUGCUACUUCUCUCAGUAUUCAGAGCUGGAUUGACAUUGUUGCUUCCUCCCAACUCAAGCACAUUCAGCAUUUGAAUUUUGCUUGGGUAAGUGACUUCUGUGUUUCUCCUUGAGUGCUACUGCAUGUUUUGUGAUCAGCGGUGUACCAAAUGUAGUUAAAAAGAUUGAAUUUUAACUUUAUACUGAUGCAGCUUUUGACUCCUUUCUUGACUAUACAGGAGUGCUGUGGGUUUGGGUAUUUUUGCAAUCAGAUAGCAUCUCAGCAACUUGUCCACUGUCACUAAGCUCGUG
rnacentral:lncRNA from 1 species